AUAAAACUCUUUAAAAGCCAAAUGGGCCUAAGGAAGACAAACGGCAAAACCAGCGCACGACGGUUGCUAUGUUGGCCAGUUGGCUACUGCCAAUGUUCAAUAUGUACAGAUGUAGGUGGGUGCGUAUCAGCCGAGUACCAUAAAGUUCUAACAGAAGAAGAAAGUCAAAAGUUUAAACACAUUGAACAGGAGCAACAAUUUGUUGGCCAAGAAAACAAUUGAUAAUCUGAAUUGCAAUAAAUGAUUCUGCACUUAAGAAUAUUCCACAACCUUUGAUACUGGACUAGCUCCAUAAAUCAUAUUAUUUGGCAUGGUGUAUUUGGUGAGAAGGUACAGGAACAUGAAUGACCUUGAUCUGUUGAAAUGACAAUUAGUGAUAGAUUACAAGAUGUUGAAAUGUUUUUGGUCCCCUCUUGUUUGUAUUCCCCCC
rnacentral:lncRNA from 1 species